rnacentral:snRNA from 1 species
AUACUUACCUGGCAGGGGAGAUACCAUGAUCACGAAGGUGGUUUUCCCAGGGCGAGGCUUAUCCAUUGCACUCCGGAUGUGCUGACCCCUGCGAUUUCCCCAAAUGUGGGAAACUUGACUGCUUAAUUUGUGG